UACAGAGGGUGCGAGCGUUGUCCGGAAUCACUGGGCGUAAAGGGCGCGUAGGCGGCCUGAUAAGUAGGGGGUGAAAUCCUGUGGCUUAACUGCAGGGCUGCCUCCUAGACUGUUAGGCUCGAGCACGGUAGAGGCAGAUGGAAUUCCCGGUGUAGCGGUGGAAUGCGUAGAGAUCGGGAAGAACAUCGGUGGCGAAGACGGUCUGCUGGGCCGUUGCUGACGCUGAGGCGCGACAGCGUGGGGAGCAAACAGG
rnacentral:rRNA from 1 species